AUCACUUUCAUCUCUUUUCAUUUUCAUGGAGAACAGCCGUCUCAACCUUCUUCUCUAGCAAAGCAACGCCGGAGCUCCAGCGAACUAACGUAACCAAUGACGACUGACAAACCACUACUCGUCCUCUCUCCUCUGCCUCUGGCUUCUUCGUUUGCUCGAAUCUCCGAAGAUAGACAGAGAAAAUUCUAGAUCUGUCCGGUAUUCGUCGGAAUCCAGUCAAGCACCACCACUUCUCCUCAUUUCACUACUGAUUUUCCCCUCGCUCCCCCUUUUUGGCCGGAGUUUUUUCACUAGAAUCUUGCCGGUCGUAUCGUUCUUUGUUUGUUGCCAUAGUUAGAUCUGGCAGGUAUUCGUGGGAAUCCGGUCACGCAUCACCCUUACUCCACGUUUCACCACUGUUUUCCCCCCUCGCUCCGUGUUUUUGGCCAGAUUUUUUCACUAGAACUCGCCGGCCGUAUCGUUCUUUAUUUGUUAGUCAUAGUCAUUUCCUGGAUCCGGAAACGACUCCUCCCCCACCACCAUUUUCCAACCAAGAGAGCUGCGAGGGAGACAGAUCUGGUAGCAGAGCUUUAAAGCUCGCUGCCAGAGACCGCCGGUUUAAAAUGCAAAACAAACUCUACUCGUAUCCUCUUUUCUUUAUCUCCUCCGUCCCUCACAUCGUCACCCAUCGUGAAUCUCACCGGAAACACACUUAAAACUUUCAGAUCUAACUGAAAAUUAAUCGGAUCUGAAAAUCACUGGCUUGAUAAGUACAUCUAUGAUUACUUGGUUAAGAAGGGGAUGCAUAAGACUGCUGAGGCUUUUGUUGGUGAAGCAAAUGUUAUAAAUCCCAUGCAUGUUGGUUCAUCCACCGGCGCCUGCUCUAUGACGCAUCAAACUCCCUAAUCUUUUGCAAUUUCCAAUCUUCCUCUUGACAUGGAAUUAAGAAGGUGAUUAACUUGAGAAAGCUUAUAAUUCAUUUGCUAUAAUACAGUACAUGUAGGCUAUAUCCAUGAGAAAAUACAGAUGAAUUUUGUUACUUCUUGAUCAUUUUAAGCAUUUAACUUUUUUGUAAUCCAAGCUUUACUCAUGAAUACUCGAUCUUGAGUGGAAGAAUGAUUAGAUGUUGUUUCUUUCUCCCAAUUAUUAAAUAGUUGUUGCAUAUUCGAUAAUCAACAUGGAGAUUCGGGAGAAUUAGUUCUUCAGGAACCAUCUUGUUAUUACUAGAGGCAUCCGACUUGGUACAAGUAGUAUUAGAGGAUGUUAUAAACUAAAUAUAAAUAUUCCAUUUGUGACGUCCUCUCUCGUUCCCUAAUAAUUGUCAUAAGAUAGAACAUAAAAGUAAAGAGAUACCUAAUAAAGUAAACAACACAAGUUAUGAAAACCUAAAAAAAGUACCAAACAUGUAUGAAUUGAAUGCUAUAAUAAUGUUGGUAUUAGUCCAAUUCCUAUAGUUGAGCCAAAAAUUGUCCACUUAAGGUUAGGAUUAUUUUGCGCGUCAUCAUUUGAAGCACAUGGUUUCGCUCAUGAAGCAAUAACUUCCAGCUUGGAUUGCUUUCACUACUAAAAAACAGGCAAAAAUCGACUGCCAAAACUGACGGACUGCGUCGGUUUUUCAGUGAAAACCGACGGAAAAUCGACGCAACACGGUCCGUCGGUAACGUCGCUUUUCGAAACCGACGGACUGCAUCGGUUAAAACCGACUGGAAACCAACAGAGAAAUUAAAAAACCGACGGACUCCGUCAAUUUUUUUUUAUUAUUAUUUUUUUUUUUUUUUGAAAAAUAAAGAAUGAAAUGUAGAAACUUGGAAUCGAACCCGAGUAUGUUCCUUGGCAUUAAAGGGAUUUACCACUAGACCACUGAUAUUCUUUGUUCAUAUACUUACAUUGAUUUAAUUUAUACUGUUUUUUUACUCUAACUGUCGGUUUAUUUUAGAAAAUAAUAUAAAAAGUAAUUAUAUUUUUUCACGCAUUUUUGCGCAAAAAAAAAAAAAAACCGACGCAGUCCAUCGGUUUUCUUAAAAAAAAAAAAGAUUUAAAAAAAUUAUUGAAAAAAUUUGUCGGUUUUUUAGUAGUGUUUAUAGCUUUAAGCAAUGAAGCAAUGACCCUUAAUGACACUAUGAGACUCAGCUGAUCUUUGCCAUCAUAACAUGUCUAAAAGUCGUUUCUCUUUAUCUUGAUCGACUUCUAUAUUCUUCAAGUAGCUUCCUAUAAAACAAACAUAUUUUAAACUACUCUUUGUCCUUUCAAGUAGUCCAAAUCCUUUCUUCCUAGGUCAUUUCAACUUCAACAAUUUAUUACUAGAGAGGUCCGACUUGGUACAAGUAUAGUUAAAGGAGGUUAUAAACUAAACAAAAAUAUUCCAUUUUGUGACUUCCUUUCUCUUUUCCUAAUAAUUGUUAUAAGAUAGAGCAUAAAAGUAAAGGAUGCAUACUUAAGUAGAAACAUUUUCUCAAUUCCACAAGUCGUCAUAAAUGCUUAACCAAUAAAGGCUCAAAUCUCAUUCUAUUUUCUAAAUUCCACAAGCUUGUUUGAAGAAUUGGUGUUAAUAGCAAGUGUGACUUUCCUUAAGAGGCGGAUGCAGUGUUGCGACAUUGGGUUCAUUUGCACCUAGUACUUAAAUACAAAAUGUGUAAAACAUACUAAAACUGCGAUGGAUAGUAUGUCUGAAUUCAUAAUUUCAAAAAGACAAUGGUUCAAUACUACAAAUCUUAAAGAUUGAGCCUAUGGGGUUUAAAUUCUGGAUUCGCCUCACUAACGUCUCAUAGUUUCCUAAUCACGCUUUCUUGAUUAUUUUUUACAAAAUCCUAUAAGGAAUAAUAUACAUUCAAACAUCAAUGUUAGUAUUAGUUUAGAGUAAAAGAAAAGAAGGGUAUUCAGAUGACAUUAGUUGUGAUUAGUUUUUUAUAAGGACGGUAGUUGUGAUUAGUGCGACUAAGACCAUAGUGAUAGAAAUUUGGGACUGAGAGAAUUUUUUUAAGUCGAGUGCUCUUACUAAGCGUGUCUAUUGAUACUUUAUGACAUGUAAAAGAAAUAAAGCUUCUACUGCUCCUUAAGGGUAAAAAGCAUAAAGUUCUGAGUUACUACAUAUAAUAUUUGCAAGAAGAAAGGGUAUUAAAUAGUCGAUUUUAGAUCUAUAAUAUGAAAAUCAAGAAAUGUUAGGCUUUCGUAAUUUUUACACCAAAGGUUGUAGCCUAGCGGUCAACAAAGUGAGUGAAAAACAUGGGAAGAUUAGGAUUGGAGUUCACACAGACACAAAAAAUGCUUGGUAAUUUCUUCCCAUUUGAUUGAGUCUUGGUGAAGAGAGUUACCUAGUAUGUUGGCGGGGGUAAUAGGUAACAGUGAGUAGUCCAGGUGUGCGUAAGCUUUAUCCGAACACCAGUGUGAAAAAAAAAAGAUCAUAAUCUCAUAACAAUUGUUAGAGUAGUCAGUGAAAAGCGCAAAAAAAAACCCCAAACCUUGUUGGAGCAUUAAAUGCAAAGCACAAUUAAAGUGUGGGAUUUAGCAAAGAAAAAAAGCAAGGGGAGAAAAAAUAAAAAAUAGAAAAGUAAUGCAAGAAAAACUAUAAAUACAGGCAAUAAUUAUUUGGACAAAAGAAUGGAAAAACUAUAAUUAAGCUCUAAGUAUGAAGUUGUGUCCUUUAAGGCAGAGCCUAUUACUGAAGGUGCACAUGCCUUAACACCUUGACGCCUACACUAAAGCGCCAAUUAAGCAAAGCGAAGCGCACAAGCUGGGCUUCACCGAAUUUCAGGGCUUAAGCGCGCGUUAAGUGAGCCUUUAACAACACUAAUAGGUAUACAGUGUUAUGUGGUAGUUUUAUCUGAUAUCUGGUUAGUCGUGAUAUAUGUGUCUAAGUUUGGUAAAAACUUAUUCAUUCAGAUGCUCGAAAAUAUCUUUCCCGGAAAGAUCGACGGUAAGAAGGAGCUCCUUGGAGAAACGAUAAAGGUGUCUCUAUACGACCUAUAGGUCAUGGAUUCGAGUCGAGGAAUUAGCCACUGAUGCUUGUAUCAGGGUAGGCUGACUACAUUACAUCCCCUUGGGGGAUGCUUCAUGCACCGGACGGGGGAUGCUUCAUGACCCUGCUGGGUUUCUCUUUUGAGACUAAAUUCGUAGAUCUAAUUGACUAGAUUUGUUGCUAAUUUGAGAAAUGAUUAUUCACGACCAAGGAGGAAUGUUAUCUUUUAUAUAAGCCUAAUAAUGAUAUUCAAGCAUCGAUGAUAAAGUUCGCUAAGACAAUUUGGAGUCUAUUUCUCAAAAGCUUAAGUACCAUUGAUAUAAUGUCACUUCAAGCAUUGACGAUCGAGGCUGCUAAUAUGAAUUAGCAAAUGUUUCCUGUUACCUUAACCUGAUCACUCAUGCUUGAAGCCAUCAAAAUUAUGUUUUCUUCACUGUUGAAACUUGAAACCUAAACCCUCUAUGCCACAAGAUGGUUCCUGAAAAACUAUUUCUCCCGAUUCUUCAGUGAUUGUCAAAUAUGCAACAACCAUUUAAUAAUUGGGAGCAAGCAACAACAUCUAAUAAUUCUUCCACUCAUGAUCGAGUAUUCAUGAGUAAAGCUUGGAUUACAAAAAAGUUAAAUGCUUAAAAUGAUCAAGAAGUAACAAAAUUCAUGUGUAUUUUCUCAUGGCUAUAGCCUACAUUUACUGUAUAACAGCUAAUGAAUUAUAAGCUUUCUCAAGUUACACCUUCUUACAGUUAGGUGUGAAGCCAUCAUGGUUUAAUACAUGGAGUACAACCACAGAUGACAUGAACUACCAAGUUCCUGGAGAUCCAACAGCUGGAGAUCUUCGUAAUCACAUGGUUGAGUCACCCUGUAUUGGUGACUCUGUAAUGCCUGAGAUGCUUCUCAAAGUAGAGUCUUAUCAUAGAGAAGAUUAGUAUCAAUCGGAAACCUAGAAGCUGCAGCUACUGCUCUCCACGCAACCGGAGAGCUUGUAUUUCUAUGCAAAUGCAUUGCGUGCUGUUGCCCUUUCUUCAGCUGUAUCCACGUCUUUACUUGAGCUGUCCAUAAAGACUGGUCCUUGUCUGGAACACAUCUUCUUUGUGCUGUUGGCAGGCAUCAAGAAGCUUCUUAUCAGACAGGUGCGUGUCGGAUCUCUCUACAGUAGUGCAUUUUCUGAGGAUCCUACAUGGGCUUGGCAAUAUUUUUGGAGAGUCCGAAUAACAUGCUCUCUCCGUUUCAAUUUAUUUGUCUUUUGAUUUGAGACAGAGCUUAAGUAAGUAAAGAAAACUUUUAAAUCUUGUGGUCUGAAACUAAUGAUAUGUGUAAUGUACUAAAAUGUCUUUUAAUCUUGUGCUCAGAGGCAUUAUUUUUUAAACAGACUAACGUGAAAAGUAAGACAAACAAGUUAAAACAAAGGGAGUAGCUUUUUUGCCAUUGUCUUGCUCACCGAGCUACAAAUUACCUACCAUUUAUGUAUUUUACCUCAGUUUCAUUUCAAAGAUUCUUCUUAUCAAUUAACAUUUUGGAUAAAACGGAAAACCAAGCGUACCUAUAAGGAAAGGAGCCGAAAAAUUAGCACACAACCUUUUGACUUGGAUCCUGUCAAAUGUUGGGGGAAAUAAAGUUGUGUCCAACAAGUAUCUAAUCAAUCAAUUAUGGCUAUCAGUUGCAUCUCUUUGAUUUGUAGCUCAUUCUACUAGAAACAAGAUUUUCAUCACAAGGGAAAUGUGUUGGCUGAUGCUGGGCCUGAGAAGAAGAGAGCAAGUGUGUUGGCUGAUGGCACCAUGUAACUCGACUUAUACAUUUCAAAGAAUGUUAAAUUUGAUGUCACUUCUUCUUCAGGAAAAAUUGACGCUGUCCAACAAGUAUCUAAUCAACAAUGGAACUUAACUGGAGUUGGCACAGUUUCCCCUGCCAUUGACUAUCAAUUGUCAAGUCCCAGUUUAUUAGUGUCUUAUCAAAAGGAACACUUUUCAAAUACUGUAGUCUGUCCUCAACAGGAUAUUUAACCAAAAGUGGAAGCGCAAAAAUUGGAGCGCACAUUUUCUGCCCCUGCAAGUUUUGGUGAGUUCAACAAUGAAAUGCUUAUGCAUGCUGACUUAAGUGAAGAAGAUGCCAAAGUAAGUUGAGUACUCAUAGCUGACCUCGUGAUCGUAGCAUUUUGCAGUUGUUUUGGUUACAAUAUCGAGUGUGAAUUAAUUUUCAGAAUAUUUUUGGUCUUUGAGAUAUCUUUCUGCAAUUUUGUGCAUGAAGUCAUAUGUAUUCAAGGAAUAAAUGCAACGUAAAACUCUAAUGUAAACGUGAGAGCCUUAUGCAUAGAAUUAGGAAAGAAGUAAACUCUUCAAGGUGAAGAUUUACAUAAGCUUUUAGCAUAAACACCUUAAAACUCUGGUGAUACACAGACUAGAUGUAAGAGUACCCACUGGCAAGAAUAGCAGGUUCACCCUAAAAUGCUGGGGGAGUCGAAUUACCUAGCUCGUAUCCCCAUGCCCGAAUAUGUGUGCCUACUAGGGGAAAACACAAAUAUUUCCAUACAAGGCUGAGUAUCAUCGACUCACUAACUCGAGAUUGGGGCAAGACUUUAAGGAAAACAUGAUGUGAUGGAUAUGCAAUUCAAAUCAAGAAAGACAUUUCAUAUAUAAGACUUAAAACAUUCUUUGGAAACUUAUGUGUGGCCUUAGACUUUUUUCAUAACAUAACAUAUAUCAUAAAUUUUGAUUGGGAGCACCAAAUGACACAGAGGUAAAUGAAAAACUACCAUGUGAUCAGCAUGGCAUCUGAUCUUUGUCUGUUCGGCUAAGCUGUCUCACCACAAUGUCAUAUGGGGAAGACGUGAAAAUGCUAGCAUGAAAUCUCAACCAAGGGACUAUUUAGUCAUUCAUAUCAAUUAUUAUGAUCAUAACUCUACAUCGACACAUGUAGCAUGAGGCAUUAGACCCCUUUGUCACUCUCUCCAUUACUUAAGGAUACUUCCAAAAUAUGGAAUUCUACUUUACCAUACUAGU